rnacentral:ncRNA from 1 species
CAAAGGCUUGGUCCUGACUUUUCUAUCAGCUGAGGCCAAAUUUACACAUGCAAGUCUCCGCACCCCUGUGAGAAUGCCCCACAGUUUUAUAUCCUAAAACAAGGAGCGGGUAUCAGGCUCAACAUAGUUUAGCCCAUAACACCUUGCUUUGCCACACCCUCAAGGGAACUCAGCAGUGAUAAACAUUAAGCCAUUAGCGCAAGCUUGACUUAGUUACAGCCUAAAGAGUCGGUAAAACUCGUGCCAGCCACCGCGGUUAUACGAGAGACUCAAGUUGAUAGCCAUCGGCGUAAAGAGUGAUUAGGGCCUUAUACUACUAAAGCCGAACGUCCUCAAGACUGUUAUACGUGUUCGAGGACAUGAAGAACAACUACAAAAGUGGCUUUAACAAACCUGAAUUCACGAAAGCUAUGGGACAAACUGGGAUUAGAUACCCCACUAUGCAUAGCCGUAAACAUUGAUAAAAAAUUACUAUUUUAUCCGCCAGGGGACUACAAGCAUUAGCUUAAAACCCAAAGGACUUGGCGGUGCUUUAGACCCACCUAGAGGAGCCUGUUCUAGAACCGAUAACCCCCGUUAAACCUCACCCUUUUUUGUUAACACCGCCUAUAUACCGCCGUCGUCAGCUUACCCCGUGAGGGCUAAAAAGUAAACGAAAUUGGCACUGCCUAAAACGCCAGGUCGAGGUGUAGCGCAUAAAAGGGGAAGAAAUGGGCUACAUUUCCUAACAUAGGAAACUACGGACCGCAUAAUGAAAUAAAUGCAUGAAGGAGGAUUUAGCAGUAAGUAGAAAGCAGAGUGUUCCACUGAAGCCGGCCCUGAAGCGCGCACACACCGCCCGUCACUCUCCCCAAGCCCUCUUAAUAAUGUUAAUAACCACCAAAAAUAGCAAAGGGGAGGCAAGUCGUAACAUGGUAAGUGUACCGGAAGGUGCACUUGGAAAAAC